rnacentral:rRNA from 1 species
CGGUGUUCAACUGGCGUGCCCGCGGGACGUCCUGCCGGUGAGCUCAUCCCGCGAGGGGGCUCAACUUGAAAUCCCAUCGCGGUGCUCUUCAUUGAGUGUCGAGGUGGGCCGGCACGAUUACUUUUGAACAAAUUAGAGUGCUUAAGGCGGGCUAAAAUUUUGCCUGAAUACUGUGUAUAUGGAAUAAUGGAAUAGGACCUCGGUUCUAUUUUGUUGGUUUUCGGAACCCCGAGGUAAUGAUUAAUAGGAACGGAUGGGGGCAUUCGUAGUGCGACAUUUGGGGUGAAAUUCUUGUAUCGUCGCAAGACGGACUAAAGCGAAAGCAUUUGCCAAAAACGCUUUCAUUGAUCAAGAACGAAAGUUAGAGGUUCGAAGGCGAUCAGAUACCGCCCUAGUUCUAACCAUAAAAUAUGCCAGCUAGCGAUCCGCCGACAUCCCUCUGAUGACUCGGCGGGCAGCUUCCGGGAAACCAAAGCUUUUGGGUUCCGGGGGAAGUAUGGUUGCAAAGCUGAAACUUAAAGGAAUUGACGGAAGGGCCCCCCCAGGAGUGGCGCCUGCGGCUUAAUUUGACUCAACACGGGAAACCUCCCCAGGCCCAGACACUGGAAGGAUUGACAGAUUGAGAGCUCUUUCUUGAUUCAGUGGGGGGUGGUGCAUGGCCGUUUUUAGUCGGUGGAGCGAUUUGUCAGGUUAAUUCCGAUAACGGACGAGACUCUGACCUGAUAACUAGACGCACUUGCGGCAUCUCAAAGGUCCGCCGGCGGCUGGCUUUGCGCCCGUCGUCGCGCGCGAUUUUUACUGCCGGCGUACAAUAAAUUCUUCUUAGAGGGACAAGUGG